UGAGUUGGCCGGGUGACGGCUCGCGGUUUCGACCUCGAGAGGAAAGUCCGGACUUCGCAGAGCGCAGCGCCCUCGGAAACGGGGGACGGGGUGACCCGAUGGAAAGUGCCACAGAAACUAAACUGCCUCGGCUUGCCGGGGUGAGGGUGAAACGGUGAGGUAAGAGCUCACCAGCGCUUCGGGUAACCGAGCGGCUGGGCAAACCCCGCUGGAAGCAAGGCCAAAUAGGGAGGCGUUGACGUGGCUCGCUGAGCCUCCGGGUUGGCCGCGCAGAUAAAUCGUCACACAAAAACAGAAUCCGGCUUAUAGGCCAACUCGAUCG
rnacentral:RNase_P_RNA from 1 species